UAUCUCUGUAGAGUCUGCAUAUCAAUAAGCGGAGGAAAAGAAACUAACUAGGAUUCCCUCAGUAACGGCGAGUGAAGCGGGAAGAGCUCAAAUUUGAAAUCUUCAAGGUUUUACCUUGACGAAUUGUAGUUUAAAGAAGUGUUUUCUGUUGGAGUUUUGGUAAAAGUUCUUUGGAAUAGGACAUCAUAGAGGGUGAGAAUCCCGUAUUUGACCAUUAUUUCCAGCUGUGUGAUACACUUUCAAAGAGUCGGAUUGUUUGGGAAUGCAGUCCAAAAUGGGUGGUAAAUUUCAUCUAAAGCUAAAUACUGGCGAGAGACCGAUAGCGAACAAGUACCGUGAGGGAAAGAUGAAAAGAACUUUGAAAAGAGAGUUAAACAGUACGUGAAAUUGUCAAAAGGGAAGCGUUUGACACCAGUGUUGUUUUCUCGAAAAUCAAUUAAAAAAGGCCGGAUUUUGUGUUGUAUUGACCUUAAAAGCUUUCUUCACUCUUUUCUUGUCUUUUUUAAUGCACUUUUCGUUUAACAAGUCAACAUCAGUUUCUUUUGUUGUAAAAGGGUCAUUGGAAGGUGGCUUUCUUUUCGGAGAAAGUGUUUAUAGCCUUUGAUCUCUGCAACCGGAGAGACUGAGGUCUGCAGCGUAGACUCUUCGGGGUUAGAUACAUUUGUGCUAAGCUAUAGCUUUUUAUAGACAACUUGUUGACUAUAUUUAGUCUUGUGGCUUACUCGCUUAUGCUAUUUUACCUACGCUUAGGAUGUUGAUGUGAUACUGCGAGCA
rnacentral:rRNA from 1 species